rnacentral:rRNA from 1 species
UGGGGAAUAUUGGACAAUGGGCGAAAGCCUGAUCCAGCCAUGCCGCGUGUGUGAAGAAGGUCUUCGGAUUGUAAAGCACUUUAAGUUGGGAGGAAGGGCAGUAAGCGAAUACCUUGCUGUUUUGACGUUACCGACAGAAUAAGCACCGGCUAACUCUGUGCCAGCAGCCGUGGUAAUACAGAGGGUGCAAGCGUUAAUCGGAAUUACUGGGCGUAAAGCGCGCGUAGGUGGUUCGUUAAGUUGAAUGUGAAAGCCCCGGGCUCAACCUGGGAACUGCAUCCAAAACUGGCGAGCUAGAGUAGGGCAGAGGGUGGUGGAAUUUCCUGUGUAGCGGAGAAAUGCGUAGAUAUAGGAAGGAACACCAGUGGCGAAGGCGACCACCUGGGCUCAUACUGACACUGAGGUGCGAAAGCGUGGGGAGCAAACAGG